CUGAGCCCAUCUGCCUGCCCAUGCUUCUGGCUAAUAUCGGCGGAAAGGCGCCGAAUGGAUUCUGAUUAUCAGUCAGCCCCAAGCCAUCAAAGUCGACUAAUCAACAUUAAAAAACAAAACUCGUGGACUUUAGGGCGAUAGUAUGUAAAUUAAGCACACCGCUAACAUGAUUUUCAGUUAACGAUUUAAUUAUAGUAAUGAUAAGAUAGAUAAAAAUCGUGACACUGACUUGUGAACGGCAAACUGAUGCUCAUGUUGGACAGGAACCCGUCUGGAGGGUACCUGACGAACGGUAGGGACAACGAUGGCGUUAUCGUUAGCCUGGUACCGGGUG